UACAGAGGGGGCAAGCGUUGUUCGGAAUUACUGGGCGUAAAGGGCGCGUAGGCGGCCUUCUAAGUCGAACGUGAAAUCCCCGGGCUCAACCCGGGAACUGCGUCCGAGACUGGAAGGCUCGAAUCCGGGAGAGGGAUGUGGAAUUCCAGGUGUAGCGGUGAAAUGCGUAGAUAUCUGGAGGAACACCGGUGGCGAAGGCGGCCUUCUGGACGAUGACUGACGCUGAGACGCGAAAGCGUGGGGAGCAAACAGG
rnacentral:rRNA from 1 species